GGAAGGGUUUUGGAAGUGUUUGGGCCAUGGAAGUGUUUGUUGUAAAAUCUGCCUUAUACAUUAACAGAAGCACUUGGCUAUUGUCUCGAGAGGACGCUGACUAGCGCAGGCGGCUGCCCCAUCCAGGGACCUGGAGGGGACACUGCUGCUGCAACCAUCCCAGGUCCCCGCAUCUGGAAGACGCCACCACGGCACCCGCCCGAGGCCCCCGCUGCUGUGCGGUGCGUCUCCAGCCUGACAAGUAGACCCAGCAGACCUAUUUCUAGGGUCCCCACCAUGUGGGCUGCGUGAGGCAGAUGAACCAGUUACAGGACACGGGCCUCUGCCGCCGAGACAGGUACGAGCGUUCGGGGCGAACGCCACGCAAGGCACGCACUCC
rnacentral:lncRNA from 1 species